rnacentral:snoRNA from 1 species
UGCUAUGAUGAACAUUCGUGCUUUGCACGCUGGAAAUUACCGACUGAACAAUCAUGUCGAAAACAAAUGGCUAUUUCUGAGC